rnacentral:rRNA from 1 species
GAUGAACGCUGGCGGCGUGCCUAAUACAUGCAAGUCGAGCGAACAGACGAGGAGCUUGCUCCUCUGACGUUAGCGGCGGACGGGUGAGUAACACGUGGAUAACCUACCUAUAAGACUGGGAUAACUUCGGGAAACCGGAGCUAAUACCGGAUAAUAUAUUGAACCGCAUGGUUCAAUAGUGAAAGACGGUUUUGCUGUCACUUUUAGAUGGAUCCGCGCCGCAUUAGCUAGUUGGUAAGGUAACGGCUUACCAAGGCAACGAUGCGUAGCCGACCUGAGAGGGUGAUCGGCCACACUGGAACUGAGACACGGUCCAGACUCCUACGGGAGGCAGCAGUAGGGAAUCUUCCGCAAUGGGCGAAAGCCUGACGGAGCAACGCCGCGUGAGUGAUGAAGGUCUUCGGAUCGUAAAACUCUGUUAUUAGGGAAGAACAAAUGUGUAAGUAACUAUGCACGUCUUGACGGUACCUAAUCAGAAAGCCACGGCUAACUACGUG